rnacentral:rRNA from 1 species
AGGAAUCUUGCGCAAUGGGCGAAAGCCUGACGCAGCGACGCCGCGUGAGGGAUGAAGGCCUUCGGGCUGUAAACCUCUGUCAGGAGGGAAGAACCCGGGAUCGGUGAACAGCCGCUCCCGCUGACGGUACCUCCAGAGGAAGCACCGGCUAACUACGUGCCAGCAGCCGCGGUAAUACGUAGGGACCAAGCGUUGUUCGGAUUUACUGGGCGUAAAGGGCGCGUAGGCGGCAUGUUAAGUCAGCUGUGAAAUCUCCGAGCUUAACUCGGAACGGUCAGCUGAUACUGAUGUGCUAGAGUGCAGAAGGGGCAAUCGGAAUUCUUGGUGUAGCGGUGAAAUGCGUAGAUAUCAAGAGGAACACCUGAGGUGAAGACGGGUUGCUGGGCUGACACUGACGCUGAGGCGCGAAAGCCAGGGGAGCAAA